rnacentral:rRNA from 1 species
AUUGAACGCUGGCGGCAUGCCUUACACAUGCAAGUCGAACGGCAGCAUGGAGAGCUUGCUCUCUGAUGGCGAGUGGCGAACGGGUGAGUAAAGCAUCGGAACGUACCGUGUAGUGGGGGAUAACGUAGCGAAAGUUAAGCUAAUACCGCAUACGCACCGUGGUGGAAAGCAGGGGAUCGUCAGACCUUGUGCUAUACGAGCGGCCGUUGUCAGAUUAGCUAGUUGGUAGGGUAAAGGCCUACCAAGGCGACGAUUAGUAGCGGGUGUGAGAGGAUGAUCCGCCACACUGGGACUGAGAAACGGCCCAGACUCCGACGGGAGGCAGCAGUGGGGAAUUUUGGACAAUGGAGGCAACCCUGAGCCAGCCAUGCCGCGUGAGUGAAGAAGGCCUUCAGGUUGUAAAGCUCUGUCGGCCGGGAAGAAAUCGAACAGGCUAAUACCCUGUGUGGAUGACGGUACCGGCAUAAGAAGCACCGGCUAACUACGUGCCAGCCGCCGCAGUAA